UACGUAGGGGGCAAGCGUUAUCCGGAUUUACUGGGUGUAAAGGGAGCGUAGACGGUUCUGCAAGUCUGGAGUGAAAGCCCGGGGCUCAACCCCGGGACUGCUUUGGAAACUGUGGAACUAGAGUGCAGGAGAGGUAAGUGGAAUUCCUAGUGUAGCGGUGAAAUGCGUAGAUAUUAGGAGGAACACCAGUGGCGAAGGCGGCUUACUGGACUGUAACUGACGUUGAGGCUCGAAAGCGUGGGGAGCAAACAGG
rnacentral:rRNA from 2 species